UGAUCAGCUUUAGGACACUAAGGAAGGCAGAGGGUUGGGAAUAUCAGCUAUUGUUUCAAGUUUAGAACAAAGGAAACGGGACACGAGAUUUCCAAACACCACCAAGAAAAAAGACUAUAUGGGUAUAUAAAUCACUAAAAUGAAGGAUCUGUGGCUCUUGAAAAAUGAUCCUUGGGGAACAGUGACCUCAUGAGGACUCCAAAAGGAUCUAUGAUCUCGUGGCUCUGUCCCACAGAAAUGCUAAGGAAGGGGGAAAAGGGAAUUCGGCAUCGAGCGAGGGCCUGUUUGUCAAAGGUGACACAAUCCAGCAGGAGAGUCAAAGCACAGAAACCAGACAAGCUCCACAAAUCUCCACCUCCACAAAGGGACACGCAAUACUUCGUCCAAGUUUGGGGAGAUGGCGAGCCCCGAGAACCUAGGACACCAAAGGUGACACAGGGAGGUGACCAAGUCUCCCUGGGACCUGGGGUGCCCUGAAAU